AAUCCGACGAGUGUACGCGAAGUUAUUGACGAAACGACUGUUUUGGUACAGAAAAUCGUAGCUCACGGAAUAGACCUCCAAAAAUCAUGGAAACGGAUCUGGAGCACCGUGUUAGCGUGGCAAAGAGCUUCUGCAACUGAAACGGCGAAGCGGAGCGCUCUUGACAUGCAAGUGUGAGAUCGGGCCCAAACGGGUGCCGAGUCCCGCGGGAGGCCGAUUGCAAGUGACUACAAACAAUCGGAACGCGAGUUAAGGUGGGUUGGUUUACCGAAGCGACUAGGUCGCCCGUAUGUCUAAGCUCAUUGCUUAUCAUUGAUGCAUGUUACUAAAUAACAUAAAUGUUGCUAAGUAGAAAGCAUGAUGCAUGAUAAACAUGACAUAAGAGUUAAAUGCUAGAGAAGAAUACAUGAGAUAAAAUGCUAAGUAGAGAGCAUGUAAAAAGUAAAGUGUAUGCAUGAUGAUCAUGACAUAAAGAUGCUAAAUGCAUGAAUGCACGGGGAACAUGUUGGUAAGUAACAUAAAUGUGCAUGAAAAACUAGGUUGAUAACCCUAGAAUGAUUACAGUAAAUGAUGCUAAGCUAAGAAUGCUAAAGUAUAAAUGAUAAGCAUGAUAUGAAUAUGGUAAAGGCUAGCAUAUGUUAAGAAUGCUAAGUAAGAAAUAUAUAUAGGUGGACAUGAAUAAACCUAUAGAUCGAGUGGCAUUGAACCUAGUGUCGAGAACAUAGGUUAAACAAAUGUGAUUUUGAACCUAGUGUCGGUGAACAUAGGUUAAAUAAGAAUGAUGCUAAACCUAAUGUAAAGAACAUAGGUUAUGAUAUAAAGGUGCUUAACCUAGAGUCAAGUGAACCUAGGUUGGAAAGAAUAAUAAUCCUAGUGUAAUAAACCUAGGUUAAGAAUGUGAAAGCAAUGAACCUAAUGGGCUAACUUAGGUUGAGUAAAGGCUUAGACCUANCCGAAAAUCGGAGUUACUAUUCACUUAAGUGAAAUUUAAAAAUCGCGUAACUUCUCCAUUUUAGCUCAUUUUCUCCUGAAACUUGACGAGUGCUUAUGUAAUUAAAUUACACACAUAAACAUCGUCAACAGAGAGUUUAGUUGCACUGUAAAAAUCUCAGUCCUUACAAUAUAGGCGGAAGUGCCGAUCUCCCAUUCAUUGGAGUGAUGUAGGCGAGCGAGUUGAGUUCGGUCCAGAUGUUCUGCGAGAGGCGGAGGAGAAAGUCCACCUUGCUCGCAAAAGGUUGCUCACGGCGCAAUCACGACAAAAAAGCUAUGCAAAUAAACGCAGUAGAGAUUUGGAGUUCGCAGUGGGUGACCGCGUGUUCUUGAAGGUUUCGCCGAUACGAGGCGUGAAAAGGUUCGGGGUGCGAGGAAAGCUGAGUCCUCGUUAUAUUGGCCCCUACGAGAUCUUGGAGCGCAUUGGGACGGUGGCGUAUCGAGUUGCAUUGCCCCCGAAACUUGCGGGUGUGCACAAUGUCUUCCACGUCUCCCAAUCUUCGCAGGUAUAUGCAUGAUCCCUAGCAUGUUCUAGUAUAUGAGCCGCCGGAGCUUCAAGAUGAUAUGAGCUAUGAAGAGUUUCCGGUGGAGAUAUUGGCUCGAGAAGUGCACAAGUUAAGGAAUCGGGAAAUUCCCUAUGUUCGAGUCAAGUGGAGCAAUCACGAUGAUCGCGAAGCCACUUGGGAGCUCGAGGACCAGAUGAAGGCAAAUCAUCCUCACCUAUUUGGGGAUUGAGGUAAGAGUUCGAUUCGAGUUUAAAAGUUGAGUUGUUUCGAGGACGAAACUCCUUUUAAGGGGUGGAGGAUGUGAGAUAUUGGAAACUCGACGAUAUUUGCUCACUUUGGCCAAAUGGACCAAAGUAAGCAAUCGAAAGGCUUGGACAAGUUCCAAUUGGUACUCCAACAAGUUUGGAAGAGUAUAAAUGAGUUCCAAGGGUGUUGGAAGGGUUUUGACGUUGAUCGGCGCGAAGUAGAGCCGAAACAGGUCAAACAGCACAUUCUGGAACUGCUGUACUGGUACAACAUGAUGGUUGUACCGGUACAACCAUCAAGGGUAGGCUGAUGGUUGUACCGGUACAAGGGUGGCCUUGUACCGGUACAAACCCGUCGAAACUGAGCGACCGAGCCUCAGGUUUGCUCUCGGGUUUGCUAUCACAGGGCCUUGUACCGGUACAAGAGCCCGUGAACCGAUACAAGGGCACCCGAACAGCGGGUUAAGUUGUAAAAAUAGAAAAUAGAGGGACUCUUUUGGAUUUUGUUACAUUAGAGAGUUGUUAACCCUCUCUCUCAGCCUCUUUCCCUCUCACUCUCACAGCCUCUCUCUCUCUCUAGCCUCUCUCUCUACCCGAAAUAGAGAAUAAGAAGGAGAAAAGGAAAAAGAAGGAGAGAAAGAAGAAGAAGAGAGGAAGAAAAGGAAGGAGAAGAUCAAGGAGAAGAAGAAGAAGCUCUCUUCCUCCACGUUUUCAAGCUAGGGCUUGCUUUGGAGCAAACCCUAAAGGUAAGCCUCAACCCUAAUGUGUGAUUUCUAGGGUUUAGGGCUUUUUGGUUGGUUUUAAUGGUUCAAAUGGAACCUCAUAAGCUUAGAGAUCAUGGAUCUAGCUCACAAUGAAGCUAGAAACCAUUGAUCCCCAUGGGUGCUAAACCUAGGGUUAGAUUUUGGGGUUUUGAAAAUAUAAGGGUUUGAUCUCUUUUGACGGGUUAGAAACCUAAUUCCUAUGCUCCCAAACGCGUAGGCGAAGACGGUUCGUCGAUCCGACGAGUGAGCGCGGAGAUCUCGCCGAUUUGAGUGCUCUAGGGUUUGGGUUGACCCGACGAAAUUAAGCGGUGACAAGAAAUAGUGAAAGAACGCGUUUCGUAGCUGUUCGGCAUUACCAAAGGUGGGGGAGUGCCAUCCCAAAGCUAUCGGGCUACUCUUUAUGUCCAAGUUUAAUUAUGAUCUAAAUUGCAUAUUGUGCAUGUUCAUAUAGGGUUAGAGGUUGAUUAUGUUGCUUACAAUUGCAUGCUAGUAGCUAUAAAUAUGCUUGGUUGGUUGAUUUAUGAUCUAGUAUGCAAGAUGGUUAUAUGAUGAGAACUCUAUGAUGAAAAUAUAAACCCUAUAUGAGAUGAAUAAUGCUUAUGUUGCUAAAGAACUACUAUGAUGUAACUAGUGUUGAUAAUGAGUCAAAAUUGACGAGUGGCAUCUAACAUAGAGAACUAUGAUGAGUAGCAUAUGAUUGUCGAUAGCUUAUGAUACGAGAAUCCUAGUGUAGCUGAAACACUUUGAGAUUGGGUAUUAGAACACCAUGAUUCUAUGCUGAGAUUACCCUCAAAGGGUAGGUUGCUGUUGAUCGUGAGUUGAUCGUGCUCACAUAGCCUGUCUGCGCUUCGUGGGGUCGCUCCCCUCAAGCUGUGCUCUCCGGAGUUUGGUCACUAGAGGGGCAGCCGCUUGCUGCCCGGAUAGCCGCUAGCUAUCCGCAGGCGGUCUCGGGAGUAGUUCAGUGAGACUUUCCCUAUGAGACUUACACGUGAGAUGUGCUUGUGAACCCCGUGUUCACUAUGAGAUUUGGUCACCUAUUGAGUCAUACUCAGUACUUGUUGUUCAUAGUAGCUUACUUGUUGUUCAUAGUAGCUUAUUUGCUGUUCCUAGUAGCUUGCUUACAUAGCUUACCUCUAUAGUUGUUGUUGAUGUUCAUAGUAGCUUGCUUACCCAGUUUUAUUAUUGUUCAUGCAUUCAUGACACCAGAUUGAGGAAUAGCUAGAUGUACUUACUCCACCUACCUACUUUCGUUUCCGCACAGUUUUAUAUAUUGCAUAUAUCUCUCUAUACCUGAUUAGACCUAGUGGGUAGAUCGGCGGAGUCGGCGGCCGAACCCACUGGGAACUACUCGUAGUUCUCACAACCCACAUUACAGGUGCUAGUUCGAGCAUCCCGACCGAGCGGGAGGAUCGCGGCAAGGGCAUAGCGCCCUAGCGGUAUCAGUUGAUAGUUUUACCUUUCCUACUUGCAUUAGCUCUACCCUGUACCUAUAUUCAUUUUGAGAGUAGAUGUUGUAUAGGGUGAGGUUUUGGAGAGUGAUUGAUGUACUCAUAUUUUGAAGAAAAGAAUGCAAGUUGUAUCAAAUUGCUUAAAGUUAAUGAUAUUGGAAAAAGUUUAUAUGCUUCAAGUUUAUGGUUUAAAUAGCUAAGUUUCUCUCUUUUGUAUACUUGUAUGGAUUUACUUGUAUCGCUUGCUCUUGGUUUUGCAGCACUGUUUGUGCUUCGCUAUCGUUGUUGCAUUGAUCAUGUAUGAUUACAAGUGUUGAUCCUGGGGACUUGUGUACAUGAUCUCGUUGUUGAGCCUAGGGCGGGCAGGGGAGACUCUGCCCGUUCGGCCUCACGCCGCCGCCCUCGAAACGGACCAAAUAGGUACUGUCCUUCGGGUAGUGCGGUCGGGGCGUGACAAACAUAAAUGUGCAUGAAAAACUAGGUUGAUAACCCUAGAAUGAUUACGGUAAAUGAUGCUAAGCUAAGAAUGCUAAAGUAUAAAUGAUAAGCAUGAUAUGAAUAUGGUAAAGGCUAGCACAUGUUAAGAAUGCUAAGUAAGAAAUAUAUAUAGGUGGACAUGAAUAAACCUAUAGAUCGAGUGGCAUUGAACCUAGUGUCGAGCACAUAGGUUAAACAAAUGUGAUUUUGAACCUAGUAUCGGUGAACAUAGGUUAAAUAAGAAUGAUGCUAAACCUAGAGUCAAGUGAACCUAGGUUGGAACAAAGGUUGUGAUAUAAACGUGCUUAACCUAGAGUCAAGUGAACCUAGGUUGGAAAGAAUAAUAAUCCUAGUGUAAUAAACCUAGGUUAAGAAUGUGAAAGCAAUGAACCUAAUGGGCUAACUUAGGUUGAGUAAAGGCUUAGACCUAGAGAGGUCAGUUCCAUAGGGUUAAGACCAACCCUUGGUUAAUGUGAUAUGGAUUCCGGAAUCCCAAAGCUUAAUGAUACACCCAAAGUGGUGUUGGGUGUGUGCGACGAUUUCGCCGCCCAGGGGCUAGAGAACCAUUGUCAUGGCGUGUGUGCGACGAUUUCGCUGCCGGAUGGUUAUCCAGUUUGUGGAUCCUACUGCCUGUUGACUGAACCACUGUCAUGGCAUUUGUGCGACGAUUUCGCCGCCGGGUGACUAAGUCAUAGACCUAGGCCGUUGUUGGGUGAGGUGCGAUCCGUUUGCCGCCAGACGGCUAGGACAGGAGUACGGUGAGCUGUUGCCAGCUGAGGUGCAUGUGAGAGUUCCUUCGCCUCGAACUAGACAGUGCGCGGACUACCCGCGAUCGAUUGACUCAUGACCGAGUUGGGUGGUAUAGAGAACAAAGGUAAGAGAAACCUUAGGAAUGAAUGGUUAGUGAGAAUGUGCAAUCAAGUGUACAGAAUAAAGAACAGCUAAAGAGUAAAGAUAGUUAAAGAAUAAAGAGUAGCCAUGCUCAAGAAUGUUAAGAUUAAAGAAUAGCUAAGAGCUAAAAGCAGACGUCAAAUGACAAAGCGUAAAGAAUGAUUAAGAAUAUAAGUAGCGUUAAGGUAACCUACUUGCAUGAUUACAGGUAUUGCAUGUUGCAUUUCGUGAGGCAUGACAUGUAUUUCAAUUGAAUAUAUAUAUCUGUUGUAUAUUGUUGAA
rnacentral:lncRNA from 1 species